rnacentral:rRNA from 1 species
AUUGAACGCUGGCGGCAUGCCUAAUACAUGCAAGUCGAACGCGAAAGAGGGGCAACUCUCGAGUAGAGUGGCGGACGGGUGAGUAAUACGUAGGAAUCUGCCCUAGAGUGGGGGAUAACCUGUCGAAAGACGGGCUAAUACCGCAUAAUCUCUAUGGAGCAAAGGUGUCUUGUAGCAAUACAAGGUUUCGCUCUAGGAUGAGCCUACGUCGGAUUAGCUAGUUGGUAGGGUAAUGGCCUACCAAGGCAACGAUCCGUAGCUGGUCUGAGGGGACCAUCAGCCACACUGGAACUGUGACACAGUCCAGACUCCUACGUGAGGCAGCAGUGGGGAAUCUUGGACAAUGGGGGAAACCCUGAUCCAGCAAUGCCGCGUGUGCGAUGAAGGCCUGCGGGUUGUAAAGCACUUUCGGUGGGGAAGAAAUACUCAAAGAUAAUACCUUUGAGUGCUGACGUUACCCAUAGAAGAAGCACCGGCAAACUCUGUGCCAGCCGCCGCAGUAA